GCAUCUGAUAUUAAUUUGGAAAAGCUCAAGUAGACUCACAAAGAUCUACAAACUAUAUCUAAUUCUAAGGUCACAAAUCGGUGAAUUGCAAUUGCAAGAAAAUACGUUAAGAGGCAAGAACAUGGACAAAUCUGUUAUGAAUCAACUGAACUUUAAUCAACUAAGGACACUGGCAAAAUUUGAAAAAUCGUUCAUCUCACUACGUACAAAGAUUCGUCUAUUGAAAGCACAAAGAAAUGCCACACGUGUCAUGGAAGAGAACCCACCAGCUAAAUUAAAGCAACCAAUAGCUAUUGAACAAGACCAAGUAAAAAGGCAAGUGGAUUUAUGAUCUUUUCCAGAGCCCGUUGAAUUAUUGAUCCUAUCCUCCACUUGAAAUUAGUAUCGAGGUUGCUGCUGAUGCUUCUGGAGUUGAAACAGAGACACCAGUCGCAGAAGCAGUAAGAUUAUCAUCUCAACUCGAUUGCUGUUUCUGUUAUGUUGAUAUUGUGGUGCAUGGUAUACCAUGAUUGUGAUGGACGUCGAUGAUUUUCUAUUUCUUUGACGAGAUAAUUUCUUUUUGCAUACCUAUUUAUUACUUCGACUCUCACUGGAGAUUGGACUCAUGUUUCAAAUGAUGAAACAAAAUUGAAAUACCAACUAAAAAAUUAGUGGGUGCGUUCAACAGCCGAAAUAUUUUCUGCCAAAAAUAAUAUGAAGACAUGCGAGAAUUUUUAGUAUACGUAUACCUCACCGAGUGAUCAGCUGAUAAACAUUAUGGCCUUUUUUAUUUUUAUUGCUUUUCGCGCUAUUAUUCAGCUUGAAAUAAAAUAUAUUUGCAAGAGAUAGUCAAAUCGAUUGGGCAAGUACUAUACAAAAAAAUGAAUUAAAACAAUUUCCUCUUAUCAAUAUUUAUUUUUUAUUAUUUUUUCAAUAUUAUUUCAAUAUUUUUUAUGUAGCUGCUUUGGCAAACUAUCUUGAUAGCUUUUCGUUCAAAAAGAUAUUGCAGAUAUGGGUAUCCCAGAAAACCUAUCCGAUAGGUGACUGAACGCACCCAAUAUCAAAACGUCAAACAUGCUUGUGUUAUUUUUCUCGUUGAAAACAAUUUUUUUUUCGAACCAUUUCAAGCUUUAAAACCAUUCCUUUCCUCCUAUGAACACGAAAAAAGUAAUUCAUCAUCAAUUCUUAAAUAUGAUUAAAAAAAUGGACGAAGAUGAAAGAGUGAAGAGAUACCGGUGUUUCUCUCAAAGAACUUGCAGGACAAUUUAGUUAUACAUAUCUCACCAAAACCCAUAUAACCAAUUUCGAUUCGACCAAUUUGGUAAAUUGCUGUGUAAAACCCUUUAGCAAUUAUGUCAAAGUCGACUUUACCAUGAACACAGAAUCCAAAUAUUAUGAUCGUUUCAAAGGCGAACACUUUGCCAUCAUGGCGUAUGGAAAACAAGCCAAAGGCGAACGACAAACAAUCGUAUAUUAGCACAAAAUCCAUAGACAAUGCUGCAAAGUAUGUGGUACCAAAGUGGAGGAAAAGUCAAUCAACGAAGAAGACGAUGACGAAUAAGUGCAGCAAGUCAUUGUGAAAUUCUCAAAAACCGAUGCGAAUCGAAACAAGAAAAUCAAAGACAAGAGCUAUGAUAAUUUUGUUAAACGAUGUACUGAGGAACUUGUGUCCGAGACACUUUGGCAUCUACAUACAUCACCCACUGCUGCAUAAGAGCGACAAAAGAUAUUUCCCACUCAACAGCAAAGAGUGAUUUUUAAAGAUGCUCGCAUGCUUACUUUCGAUGAUAUCAUGUCAAUCCUGACAGAAAGUAUUGAAUGUCUUAGCUGGAAAAGGGAUAUGAAUGGUACAUUGCUUGUGUUACGACUUUGGCGCAAGUGGGAGUGCUAACUAAAAGCAAUUUGUUUGGCAAAUUCGAAGUCCUCUAUCCUCCAGAUAAUUAAUCAAAUGCUAAUCGUGUGGGUUCUGAUUUGAUGGUUCGUGCUAGAGAUUACAUGGUAAUAACGAAGAAAAAACUUUAAAAUUGGAUUAAAUUGUGAGUUCUUAUCGAUGGAACAAAACGUGUCGAUGGAGAAACAAAUUUCACCCAAGGCGCAAUGAUAACAAUUGCUAAUUAAAAUUAUGUGCGUUUCAAUAAUCCUGCCGAAGCUCAACUUAUACGCUAUGCCUUGGGCAGCAACGAACGAAUCUCGAUGCCACCUUAUAAAACCAAAUUUCAAUGGGCUUAAUAUUAAUGCCAGGAUAAUAUUAAAGUCCAACAAAUCAUUUUUUAGAAGGACACGGCCCCAUUUCUCACAAAUGAUGGAUAAAAAUGUGGAUAAAAACUAAGUUGGCAAACUUGUUCCUACAGAAAAAAAUCAAUUAAAACUUGUCUGCAUCCCUGACACAGUAGUGUCUACUUGCUGUUCAGUUAAAAGUACAAUAUGUUCGCAUCUAAAAAGUACAAGAAAUAGAUGAUUUUUAAAAAUACUAUGGGUGAGGCUAUCCAUGUGUUACGGACUGUAUGUGCGCCCUCCAUUGCAACAACAGCAGCAACAACAUCAGCAACAACUUCCGUCACAUCAGCAACAUGCACCGCAGCAACUGCACCACCU